UGUUGGGGUAGUCCUUCUUGUAGCUCACAGAGUUCUUAGCUUGCUAAGACUGAUAAUUACUUCUCUCUAGUAGAGAAUAGAGCAACUUCUGUCACAAUGGGAGCGUGGCAAUAAGAAUGACCUGUAGGCGAGUAUCAGCAUCACACUUUCCUUGUCCUGUGACUCAACUCUAAGAUAUCUUCAGCAAUAUAUUUUUACCAACACGUUCUGUAAAGUAACCACUAUUGUUUGAGAAUCAUCAGUUUCUAACAUACUGAGAAUGGCCACAGAAAUGAGAAAGUGGGAAUUGUUGUUGGAAAGUUAUUACAGGCCAUCCCAGAAUGGAGAAUUUUACUGGAGCACAUCUGUUUCCUUAAUUUGCAAAAGUAAGACUAUUACCAAUUCAGCUGCCUAAUAACAGAUUUGUGGCCAGCCUGAAGGAGAUAGAAGAGUUACGGACAUUUUGUAAACAUCUGUUUCCAGUGGCAUGUACAUUAUUUUUUCCCUUCCAUUACGAGUCAUA
rnacentral:lncRNA from 1 species